UACAGAGGUGGCAAGCGUUGUUCGGAAUUACUGGGCGUAAAGCGCGUGUAGGCGGCUCUUCAAGUCAGGCGUGAAAGCCCCGGGCUCAACUCGGGAACUGCGCUUGAUACUGUCGAGCUAGAGUGUGGAAGGGGAGACUGGAAUUCCUGGUGUAGCGGUGAAAUGCGCAGAUAUCAGGAGGAACACCGGUGGCGAAGGCGGGUCUCUGGGCCGAUACUGACGCUGAGGAGCGAAAGCGUGGGGAGCGAACAGG
rnacentral:rRNA from 1 species